AGGACUAACGCUGGCGGCGGUGCCUAACGACGAUGCAAGUCGAACGAGAGUAGCAAUACUCUAGUGGCAGACGGGUGAGUAACACGUGGUCAACCUACCUCUAUGUGGGGGAUAACUAGCCGAAAGGUUAGCUAAUACCGCAUACGAUCGUCGAGCGGCAUCGCUUGACGAUGAAAGGAGCAAUCCGCAGAGAGACGGGACCGCGUCCCAUUAGCUAGUUGGUGGGGUAAAGGCCUACCAAGGCGACGAUGGGUAGCUGGCUUGAGAGAGCGACCAGCCACACUGGGACUGAGACACGGCCCAGACUCCUACGGGAGGCAGCAGUGAGGAAUUUUCCGCAAUGGGCGAAAGCCUGACGGAGCGACGCCGCGUGUGGGAAGAAGGCCUUCGGGUCGUAAACCACUGUCGAAGGGGAGAUAUUGACGGUACCCUUGGAGGAAGCCCGGCUAACUACGCGCCAGCAGCCGC
rnacentral:rRNA from 1 species